UUCCCCUUGAUUUUGAUUGGGAGGUGAUCUUGCCAAGAAAUCAUCAUGAUGGCAUAUAGGUUGGGCUAGUGAUUUACCUCAUCAUUCCAUCUUCACCAACAAGUCACUCCACCAUUUUCCUUCACUCUCUCUCUCCCUCUUGGCUGAUUAUAGCAGCCACCAUCACCAUCACUUUCACAUCUUCAUCUUCUCCACUAACAAGUCCCAUACAAAGCUUCAAAGAAUCCAUGGAAGUUGCAACUUGAAGGAAUUUCAAGGAAGCUUUGUUCUAAUCUUAUCAUCAUCUUUUUUCACCAUCAUCUUGUCCUAAGAUUACAACCCUAGCCUUGUGCUAGUAACGAGAAAAUGAUUUUCUAUAAAAUAUGGGUAGUCGUGUUUGCUGAAGAGAUUUGGGUUACGAGUACCGAAGACGCAAUACAGGAAUUAGUAAAUGGAUCUGGCGGGCGUUGGAGUUUUUAAGCUGCGUU
rnacentral:lncRNA from 1 species